AUUGAACGCUGGCGGCAGGCCUAACACAUGCAAGUCGAAUGGUAACAGGAAACAGCUUGCUGUUUCGCUGACGAGUGGCGGACGGGUGAGUAAUGUCUGGGAAACUGCCUGAUGGGGGGGGAUAACUACUGGAAACGGUAGCUAAUACCGCAUAACGUCGCAAGACCAAAGAGGGGGACCUUCGGGCCUCUUGCCAUCAGAUGUGCCCAGAUGGGAUUAGCUAGUAGGUGGGGUAACGGCUCACCUAGGCGACGAUCCCUAGCUGGUCUGAGAGGAUGACCAGCCACACUGGAACUGAGACACGGUCCAGACUCCUACGGGAGGCAGCAGUGGGGAAUAUUGCACAAUGGGCGCAAGCCUGAUGCAGCCAUGCCGCGUGUAUGAAGAAGGCCUUCGGGUUGUAAAGUACUUUCAGCGGGGAGGAAGGGAGUAAAGUUAAUACCUUUGCUCAUUGACGUUACCCGCAGAAGAAGCACCGGCUAACUCCGUG
rnacentral:rRNA from 1 species